rnacentral:rRNA from 1 species
GAUGAACGCUAGCGAUAGGCUUAACACAUGCAAGUCGAGGGGCAGCAUGGUCUUAGCUUGCUAAGACUGAUGGCGACCGGCGCACGGGUGCGUAACGCGUAUGCAACUUGCCUCACAGAGGGGGAUAACCCGUCGAAAGACGGACUAAUACCGCGUACACUCCAUCUUGGGCAUCCAAGGUAGAGGAAAUGAAAUUCGCUGUGAGAUAGGCAUGCGUCCCAUUAGCUAGUUGGUGAGGUAACGGCUCACCAAGGCGACGAUGGGUAGGGGAACUGAGAGGUUGAACCCCCACACUGGUACUGAGACACGGACCAGACUCCUACGGGAGGCAGCAGUGAGGAAUAUUGGUCAAUGGGCGAGAGCCUGAACCAGCCAAGUCGCGUGAAGGAUGACUGUCUUAUGGAUUGAAAACUUCUUUUAUACGGGAAUAACAAGAGUCACGUGUGACUCCCUGCAUGUACCGUAUGAAUAAGCAUCGGCUAACUCCGUG